CAGUCGCCGCGGGAAUACGUAGGGAGCAAGCGUUGUUCGGAUUUACUGGGCGUAAAGGGCGCGUAGGCGGCGCGGUAAGUCACUUGUGAAAUCUCUGAGCUUAACUCAGAACGGCCAAGUGAUACUGCUGUGCUAGAGUGCGGAAGAGGCAACCGGAAUUCUUGGUGUAGCGGUGAAAUGCGUAGAUAUCAAGAGGAACACCUGAGGCGAAGGCGGGUUGCUGGGCCGACACUGACGCUGAUGCGCGAAAGCCAGGGGAGCAAACGGGAUUAGAUACCCCCGUAGUCCCUGUCUCUUAUAC
rnacentral:rRNA from 1 species